rnacentral:misc_RNA from 1 species
GAUGAAGAACGUAGCGAAAUGCGACAAGUAAUGUGAAUUGCAGAAUUCAGUGAAUCAUCGAAUCUUUGAACGCACAUUGCGCCCUCUGGUAUUCCGGGGGGCAUGCCUGUUCGAGCGUCAUUAUAACCACUCAAGCUCUCGCUUGGUAUUGGGGUUCGCGGUUCCGCGGCCCCUAAAAUCAGUGGCGGUGCCUGUCGGCUCUACGCGUAGUAAUACUCCUCGCGAUUGAGUCCGGUAGGUCUACUUGCCAGCAACCCCCAAUUUUUACAGGUUGACCUCGGAUCAGGUAGGGAUACCCGCUGAACUUAAGCAUAUCAAUAAGCGGAGGA